UUGAGCUGAGGCGCUUCAGCUGUCGCCUGAACAUGACGUCACGACACUUUUAAAAGCCGCUCGUUUUCUUCGUCACAUCCUCUUUCCGUUGCUCUUCUCGCUUUGAGAAACCUCUCCACACGAUGAGAGCCAAGUGGAGGAAGAAGCGUAUGCGCAGGCUGAAGCGUAAAAGGAGAAAGAUGAGGCAGAGGUCAAAGUAAGCCCCUCCUCCUGCCUGCCAGCUGUGAUCACGUCUGAGCCUCUCCAGGUGACUGACACGCGGACGAAGGGGGAUUGCUCGGCGGUUCCAUCAACGAAAUUAAAGGCCUAAACUCCCCUGAUUUCAGAUGACCACGCUUUUCACGGAGCCCGCUGUGACGGUCUUACUGGAAGAUGGUGAAGAUGCUGGAGAAGAACAUGACUGCAGCUGCGUUGUUCAUGGACCAUAAUGCAUCUUGUUUCUGUACAAUUGUUUGUGGUGUUUUGAACAAUAAAUGAACACUGUUAAAUUACCACCAGUUUAAACCUCUUGAUUUUUAUGUUAUAAAGUAAGGCUAGGUUGACUGACUUGUACUUGGAAUGAAUUACACCACAGGUGUUAGAUGUGUCCUUGAUCCAACACCGCUGAUUCAAAUGGCUAAAUUACCGCAACAUGUCUUGCAGUUGUCUAGAAGCCUGGUAAUGAACUAAUCAUUUCAUUCAGGUGUGUUGACCCAGGGUGUUAUCUAAAACCUCCAGGACACUGGCCCUCGAGGCCUGGAGUUUGACACUACUGAAUUACACAGUAUGUAGGUUUUAUUAGGGCUGUCAUGUCGUUAGAAGUGAUGGCUAACUGCAUGCACGGAGUGUUAAAUGUUAAUGUGUAAGCUGGAUGAAAAGAAUUGGAGGCAAAUAUAAAUGCAGGUGAUUUAUCAAAGUGCCUUUUAGAAAAAUUGCUUUUGAUCUGAAAUCAAAAAGGUUAAAGUCCUUCAGUUGGAAGAGAACUUAUAGUACACGUGUUUAAAAGCAGAGGUCAAGAUUGACUCCUGUGUGAACUGCUAAAGGUCAGCUGUGACACACAUCCUGGUGAAAGUGUCUUUAAUUCAGUCAAGUUGUAAAUUGCAUCUUGCUGAUGAAAUGCUGCUAUUCAAGGCAAUCCCACAACAAGUCAUUCAUUUCCAUUAUUUUUCAUCUCUAUUUUCAACCAUUCUGGUUCUUUGUUUUUAGCCCAAUGACAUAAUGCAAAAUCUGCUACAUAGUUGCUCAUUAGAAAUAAACUUUAUAUGUAUGAAUGAAAA